rnacentral:rRNA from 1 species
UGGCUCAGAUUGAACGCUGGCGGCAGGCCUAACACAUGCAAGUCGAGCGGUAGCACAGAGAGCUUGCUCUCGGGUGACGAGCGGCGGACGGGUGAGUAAUGUCUGGGAAACUGCCUGAUGGAGGGGGAUAACUACUGGAAACGGUAGCUAAUACCGCAUAACGUCGCAAGACCAAAGUGGGGGACCUUCGGGCCUCAUGCCAUCAGAUGUGCCCAGAUGGGAUUAGCUAGUAGGUGGGGUAAUGGCUCACCUAGGCGACGAUCCCUAGCUGGUCUGAGAGGAUGACCAGCCACACUGGAACUGAGACACGGUCCAGACUCCUACGGGAGGCAGCAGUGGGGAAUAUUGCACAAUGGGCGCAAGCCUGAUGCAGCCAUGCCGCGUGUAUGAAGAAGGCCUUCGGGUUGUAAAGUACUUUCAGCGAGGAGGAAGGCGUUAAGGUUAAUAACCUUGGCGAUUGACGUUACUCGCAGAAGAAGCACCGGCUAACUCCGUGCCAGCAGCCGCGGU